rnacentral:rRNA from 1 species
UACGUAGGAUGCAAGCGUUGUCCGGAAUUAUUGGGCGUAAAGAGCGCGCAGGCGGUCUAUCAAGUCAGAUGUGAAAUAUCCCGGCUUAACCGGGAGGGGUCAUUUGAAACUGGUAGACUAGAGUACAGCAGAGGAUAGCGGAAUUCCCGGUGUAGUGGUGAAAUGCGUAGAUAUCGGGAGGAACACCAGUGGCGAAGGCGGCUAUCUGGGCUGAAACUGACGCUGAUGCGCGAAAGCGUGGGGAGCAAACAGG